ensembl:lncRNA
AGAUCUCGUUGCGACGAGAGUAAAGCUGCAGCGCGAGAACUGAGAGGGAAUGUUCUCGCGAGACCCCGUCUCAGCUGCCUUUCUUCCUGAGGCUCCGCCCCCCAGUUACGUACAAGAGUGCGUCAAGCCCAGGCCCAAGAUACAGAGGAGCGACAGAGAAGCCGAAAGAUAGUUGGGAGGCGGAGCUGGUCACUGAGCCUGCGCACAGAACGCUCCGCAACACUCCCUGCAGCGGUAAAGAGCAGUGGAGCACCUCCUUUCCUGUAGAAAGUACGAGGGAGAGCAGACCCAAUUUCUCUCUCUUUAUGAAGUGGCUGCUCAGAGUUCUGAAUGCACAUGUUUCAAGCCCAGCCCUAUGCAGAGAUGAAAACUGAAGACCUUCAGUUCUACUAUAAAAUUGCCAGACGGAUGGACAGUGAUGGCGGAACUCUUACUACUUAUACCUCUUGUACAUCACUACCACAUGGUGUAUCAAACAUGGAGAGAAUAUACUCUAUCUUGAUUGAGGUGGUGGUUGCAUCUUCUGUGGUUUCGUGAGUGUAUACAUGUGUUAAAAUUCAUCAAAUUCAUAUGGUUUAAACCCUUGCAUUUUGUUGUUAGUAAAUUAUAUCUCAUCCUUUAAAAAUACUACAUACAAAGGCCUAG